rnacentral:rRNA from 1 species
AUUGAACGCUGGCGACAUGCCUUACACAUGCAAGUCGAACGGCAGCACGGGUGCUUGCACCUGGUGGCGAGUGGCGAACGGGUGAGUAAUACAUCGGAACAUGUCCUGUAGUGGGGGAUAGCCCGGCGAAAGCCGGAUUAAUACCGCAUACGGUCUACGGAUGAAAGCGGGGGACCUUCGGGCCUCGCGCUAUAGGGUUGGCCGAUGGCUGAUUAGCUAGUUGGUGGGGUAAAGGCCUACCAAGGCGACGAUCAGUAGCUGGUCUGAGAGGACGACCAGUCACACUGGGACUGAGACACGGCCCAGACUCCUACGGGAGGCAGCAGUGGGGAAUUUUGGACAAUGGGCGAAAGCCUGAUCCAGCAAUGCCGCGUGUGUGAAGAAGUCCUUCGGGUUGUAAAGCACUUUUGUCCGGAAAGAAAUCCUUGGCCCUAAUACGGUCGGGGGAUGACGGUACCGGAAGAAUAAGCACCGGCUAACUACGUG